rnacentral:snRNA from 1 species
AGCAUCGUUUGCAGACAGGUUGG